GAGUUUGAUCUUGGCUCAGAGUGAACGCUGGCGGCAGGCCUAACACAUGCAAGUCGAACGGCAGCGGGUCAGUAGCAAUACUGAUGCCGGCGAGUGGCGGACGGGUGAGGAAUACAUCGGAAUCUACCUUGUCGUGGGGGAUAACGUAGGGAAACUUACGCUAAUACCGCAUACGAACUACGGUUGAAAGCGGCGGACUCGCAAGAGCGUCGCGCGAUUGGAUGAGCCGAUGUCCGAUUAGCUAGUUGGCGGGGUAAGAGCCCACCAAGGCGACGAUCGGUAGCUGGUCUGAGAGGAUGAUCAGCCACACUGGAACUGAGACACGGUCCAGACUCCUACGGGAGGCAGCAGUGGGGAAUAUUGGACAAUGGGCGCAAGCCUGAUCCAGCCAUGCCGCGUGAGUGAUGAAGGCCUUAGGGUUGUAAAGCUCUUUCGACGGGGACGAUAAUGACGGUACCCGUAGAAGAAGCCCCGGCUAACUUCGUGCCAGCAGCCGCCGUAAG
rnacentral:rRNA from 1 species